rnacentral:rRNA from 1 species
CAACUUUCGAUGGUAGGAUAGAGGCCUACCAUGGUGGUAACGGGUAACGGGGUGUUAGGGCACGACACCGGAGAGGGAGCCUGAGAAACGGCUACCACAUCCAAGGAUGGCAGCAGGCGCGCAAAUUACCCAAUCCCGACACGGGGAGGUAGUGACAAUAAAUAACAAUACGGGGUUCUUUCGGAUCUCGUAAUUGGAAUGAGUACAAUUUAAAUCUCUUAACGAGGAACAAUUGGAGGGCAAGUCUGGUGCCAGCAGCCGCGGUAAUUCCAGCUCCAAUAGCGUAUAUUAAAGUUGUUGCAGUUAAAAAGCUCGUAGUUGAAUUUCGGGGUCAGUAGGUUGGUCGUGCCACUGGUACGUACUGGUCUCACUGAUUCCUCCUUCCUGAUGAACCGUAAUGCCAUUAAUUUGGUGUUGCGGGGAAACUGGACUGUUACUUUGAAAAAAUUAGAGUGUUUAAAGCAGGCUAACGCUUGAAUACAUUAGCAUGGAAUAAUGAAAUAGGACGUUCGAUCCUAUUUUGUUGGUUUCUAGGAUUGACGUAAUGAUUAAUAGGGAUAGUUGGGGGCAUUAGUAUUCAAUUGUCAGAGGUGAAAUUCUUGGAUUUAUUGAAGACUAACUACUGCGAAAGCAUUUGCCAAGGAUGUUUUCAUUAAUCAAGAACGAAAGUUAGGGGAUCGAAGACGAUCAGAUACCGUCGUAGUCUUAACCAUAAACUAUGCCGACUAGGGAUCGGAUGAUGUUAUUUUUAAUGACUCAUUCGGCGCCUUACGGGAAACCAAAGUGUUUGGGUUC